rnacentral:lncRNA from 10 species
CCCCUCCACACCCCCUUCUCCACCAGUGCAAAGGCUCUGCCCUUCCAGCCUGGAUUCCAUCAUCCAGCGCAGGGCCGCUGCAAAAGCAAACUCAUUUACUAGGUGGAUGGAACCGGGAGGUGAUCCAAGUCAGUGCUCGCAUUGACAGCUGUGGAAACUAACACCCAGGAAGGGGAGGCAGGCCCUGGUGGGGACCACAGCGGGUCAGUGGAGGGUGCUUUGGCUCAAGGAGGGGAGGAGGGGCAGUGGUGCCAAAGCCAAGCCUCUCACUUUAGUUGAGGGCUCACUCUAAUUGGAUACAGCCUUAUAAGUGGCAGGGUGGGUGAGUAGUCUCCAGCCAUGGGUCUUUCUGGAGCCUCAGUUUUCUCAAGUGCCAAAUGGGGGUAAUAAUAAUAGCGACAAGUACUGAGCCCUCUGUGCACCAGGCACUGUGCUGAUGUGGCCUUAGGAGGCAGCUGCUGUUACUAUUCCCUCUUACAGAUGAGGAAAAGAAGGCACCACGUGGUGAAAUCACGCAGCUGGUGAGCUGUGGAGCAGGGAGGCAGACGCAGCCGGCCGGUUUCCAGCAGCUCCAGUCUCAGCCUCUGUGCACACUGCGCUGGAGCUGCCAGGGGCACUCUAUCACCACGUUCACCGCAAAGUACCAAGAGCCAGAGACGUGUGAGUCUGGGCGGUAUUGGUACCAAGAGGCCUGAGCGCAUCAUAGCUCAAGAACAAGGAGUAGGAGACAGUCAGGCCUUGGCUUGAAUUCUCCAUCACUUUCUAGCUGUGUGAAUUUAACCCCUGAACUUUAGUUCCCUGAUUAUAACAUGGCUCUUGACUUACAGGUAAGGAUCAAUUGAGAUAGAACAUUAAGGUCAUAGCCCAAGAUGUGAUGCUGGUAAAAUAAACGCUCUCCAUUAUAGUUUUGGAAAGACAAUAUUCCUGGAAGGAGUUUAGUUGUCCUCCUGUCAAUGCCCUCCAGGCUGUCAAUGUCCUGUUAAAACAAGGUGCUCCAGAUGGGGUGAGUCCUGCGUAUCACACAACAGGACUGCUUUCUCCCUGCUCUGAGCUCCAUACUCCUAUUACUGCAGCCCAAGGCAGAGGUUAAAGCAUCUACUCAGUUCACUUGGGAGCUUCUAGUUCAAGGAACACUAUGACAAAUACCAUUUCAAAUAAGUAACGUUUUUUAAAGAAAGAGAAUAAUCAAGUGAAAAUGUCCAUUCUGUGAUUCUUAGUCUCUUAAAUCAGGUUUGCCAAAAGGAGGGUCCCUGCUCCCCAACAUCUGCCACUAUGAAUAAGUGGUGCAUUUAUAAACUGCCUGCUGCUAUGGUCUGCUCUGGACUGGAGACCAGCGACCCAUCCCCAGGCCUGGCUAGAUUUCAUCCAGUCCUGGUACCAGGAUGCACAUACUCUGUUUCAGUGGCUUGAAGAACUCUCUACAUGAACCAGUUAGAGCAGCCAAAGAGCUGUGAACAACAGCUGGACAUCUUACUAGUUUAAAAUUUUGAAUUUAGAGCAAAGAUGGCACCAACGUGGCCGGGUGCGGUGGCUCACGCCUGUUAAUCCCAGCACUUUGAGAGGCUGAGGCAGGUGGAUCACGAGAUCAGGAGAUCAAGACCAUCCCGGCUAACACGGUGAAAGCCCUUCUCUACUAAAAACACAAAAAAUUUGCCUGGCGUGGUGGUAGCGCCUAUAGUCCCAGCUACUCAGGAGGCUGAGGCAGGAGAAUGGCAUGAACCCGGGAGGAGGAGCUUGCAGUGAGCUGAGAUCGCGCCACCGUACU